rnacentral:rRNA from 1 species
AUUGAACGCUGGCGGCAGGCCUAACACAUGCAAGUCGAGCGGAUGAGAAGAGCUUGCUCUUCGAUUCAGCGGCGGACGGGUGAGUAAUGCCUAGGAAUCUGCCUGGUAGUGGGGGACAACGUUUCGAAAGGAACGCUAAUACCGCAUACGUCCUACGGGAGAAAGCGGGGGACCUUCGGGCCUUGCGCUAUCAGAUGAGCCUAGGUCGGAUUAGCUAGUUGGUGAGGUAAUGGCUCACCAAGGCGACGAUCCGUAACUGGUCUGAGAGGAUGAUAGUCACACUGGAACUGAGACACGGUCCAGACUCCUACGGGAGGCAGCAGUGGGGAAUAUUGGACAAUGGGCGAAAGCCUGAUCCAGCCAUGCCGCGUGUGUGAAGAAGGUCUUCGGAUUGUAAAGCACUUUAAGUUGGGAGGAAGGGCAGUAAGUUAAUACCUUGCUGUUUUGACGUUACCGACAGAAUAAGCACCGGCUAACUCUGUGCCAGCCGCCGCAGUAAUAC